UACGUAGGUGGCAAGCGUUGUCCGGAUUUAUUGGGUUUAAAGGGCGCGUAGGCGGUCCUGUAAGUCAGUGCUGAAAUAUCCCAGCUUAACUGGGAGGGUGGCAUUGAUACUGCGGGGCUAGAGUACAGAUGAGGUAGGCGGAAUUGACGGUGUAGCGGUGAAAUGCUUAGAUAUCGUCAAGAACACCUAUAGCGAAGGCAGCUUACUAGGCUGUAACUGACGCUGAGGCACGAAAGUGUGGGGAUCAAACAGG
rnacentral:rRNA from 1 species